CACAUUUUCACAUUUACUGUGCUUUCUAGAUGAUUUGCCAAGGUUGUCUGGUCCUGGUAAAAAAUGUAUGAAAUGCCUCCACCUGAACAGAGAAGAAAAUGUGAUCCCAAUGAGAACUGUCUGCAGCAUCACACUCACCGCUGUGUCUGAGAACAGGAUUUUCCAUUUCGGCAGUGGAUCUAAACCUGAUGCCCAGGACCUGUUUUAAGCAGUGAAUCAAAGAUCACAGAAGUUAAAGUUUGGCAAGUUUUCGACGUCAAGGAGAUGGAAAGCCUAAAAUCAGUUUCUGAACCACUAAAUUAGAGGGAACAGCCUUGCUCGUGAAUUUUCCAGAAUUCCACAAACAAUUAAGAAGACCCAGGGUAGGAAGCACAUACAAUUUGUUUUCUUUGAUGGUUAAGUUGGUUUAAGGCACAGAGUUGAGAAGACAGGUAAGAAGAAGCAACUGUUCAAGCCCCAAGGAGAACCCAGAACCGACCCAGCCCCCGAGGAGAACCCAGAACCGACCCAGCCCCCGAGGAGAUCCCAGAACCGACCCAGCCCCCGAGGAGAACCCACAACCGACCCAGCCCCCGUGGAGAUCCCAGAACCGACCCAGCCCCCGAGGAGAUCCCAGAACCGACCCAGCCCCCGAGGAGAUCCCAGAACCGACUCAGCCCCCACGGAGAUCCCAGAACCGACCCAGCCUCCGAGGAGAAUCCAGGAUCCACCCAGCCCCCACGGAGAUCCCAGGAUCUCCUUGUUUUUUAAUCGAAAACUUGUUUUUCUCUCCUGUUUUUAAUUUCUUAAGGAGAAAAUUUGAGACGAAGACAAUGGCCACCUAAAUUUGUGUGAUACCCUGUUAUUUCACAGUUGCCUUACAAGAAUAACCGUGUCUCAUUUGUCACUUUCUGCUACCUGAGAAACCACUCUGUAUGAUGUUGACGUGUGACCAUGUCCAGGUGCAGCUGACGUAGUCUCAGAGACGUGUCUUUGGAAAAAACAGUACACAACAAAUGAUUAUGAGCCAUUCUGAGCAUGGUGGUGAGCUGCAGCCAGCAGAACACACCCAGCCCUGCCAGCAAAGGAAGCUUGGUCAACCACAGCAGCCUGUAUGGGCUGCGAUGGAAACCAUGUUGAGUCCCCACCUCACAGUUGAGAAAAGCAACAUAAUUUCACAUGAUGCACUAGCCGUGGCGCCUGCUACACACGAGCUCUGGAAACCUCAGCUGCCCUCAUCGCUUCCUGCCAUUCUGGAAGAAAAGUUAAAAUUGGAAUUAGCAGUAACACGGGCCUCUCAGAGUUUUGAAUAAAUAGUGCUGUAACUCAUCCUAGUAACUUAACUGGGAACCAGGCAUCUCAGCUGGUGUUGCAAAGUCACGCAGGGCUGGGGAUCCCCGAGCCCCCUGGGUGAGCUGGGUCUUGCCUAUUAGCUCUGUAGACAAGGCAGGUUCCAAAGGGCAGUGCGAAUGUGCUUCGAGUUUUACAAAAUUCUGUGAGUUCAAAGCCUUUGGAUAUCUGAGUCUGUCUUAAGAGAGCCUCAAGCUAAUAUUCACACAAUUGUGUGUCUCGGUAUACAGUUUAAAUGCUGGCAUUUAGCUUAGAGAACAAAGAAAACGUGAAGUCAAAGAAGGAACAAAAGCAUUAUAUCCUAUCAAAAAAUAACCAAAUACUAUUCAACCAUUUUGAAAAUUUCUGAUUCUGGCAUUGGGGAAAGUGGCUGCAGAUGACGGUGAUGCAUGCCCAGCAAGUGGAGGAGGCCGGGGGCAGAAUGUUGCCCAGGUGCUGGGUCGGUUCUGGGUUCUCCGUGGGGGCUGGGUCGGUUGUGGGAUCUCCUCGGGGGCUGGGUCGGUUCUGGGGUCUCCUCGGGGGCUGGGUCGGUUGUGGGAUCUCCUCGGGGGCUGGGUCGGUUCUGGGGUCUCCUCGGGGGCUGGGUCGGUUGUGGGAUCUCCUCGGGGGCUGGGUCGGUUGUGGGAUCUCCUCGGGGGCUGGGUCGGUUCUGGGAUCUCCUCGGGGGCUGGGUCGGUUCUGGGGUCUCCUCGGGGGCUGGGUCGGUUGUGGGAUCUCCUCGGGGGCUGGGUCGGUUCUGGGAUCUCCUCGGGGGCUGGGUCGGUUCUGGGGUCUCCUCGGGGGCUGGGUCGGUUCUGGGGUCUCCUCGGGGGCUGGGUCGGUUCUGGGAUCUCCUCGGGGGCUGGGUCGGUUGUGGGAUCUCAUUGGGGGCUGGGUCGGUUCUGGGAUCUCCUCGGGGGCUGGGUCGGUUCUGGGUUCUCCUCGGGGGCUGGGUCGGUUCUGGGAUCUCCUCGGGGGCUGGGUCGGUUCUGGGUUCUCCUCGGGGGCUGGGUCGGUUCUGGGUUCUCCUCGGGGGCUGGGUCGGUUCUGGAUUCUCCUUGGGGGCUGGGUCGGUUCAGGAUUCUCCUUGGGGCUUGAACAGUUGCUUCUUCUUGCCUGUCUUCUCAACUCUGUGCCUUAAACCAACUUAACCAUCAAAGAAAACAAAUUGUAUGUGCUUCCUACCCUGGGUCUUCUUAAUUGUUUGUGGAAUUCUGGAAAAUUCGCGAGCAAGGCUGUUCCCUCUAAUUUAGUGGUUCAGAAACUGAUUUUAGGCUUUCCAUCUCCUUGACGUCGAAAACUUGCCAAACUUUAACUUCUGUGAUCUUUGAUUCACUGCUUAAAACAGGUCCUGGGCAUCAGGUUUAGAUCCACUGCCGAAAUGGAAAAUCCUGUUCUCAGACACAGCGGUGAGUGUGAUGCUGCAGACAGUUCUCAUUGGGAUCCACCUUGUGAUUCUCAUUUGGGUCUAAUAGCCUUUCUUUUUUUCAGUUCCUUGUUAUUAAGUUGCUGUUUGAAUGGGCGUGUGGGUAAUCUCUGUGUGUGUGUGUUCGUGUGUGUGCAAGGGAGUUCACGCGGGGGGAUGUCAGGCCGGCACACAGGAAUGGAAAGGCUGCCCACUGGUCUCUGGAGCUGUUGAGGCUUCAGAGCGUCUCUUCCACUGCCGCCCUCCAGGGGCUCCCUCGCAGAGAGCGGAAGGCAAGGGCUGCCUGGGCUGCCAUGGGCCAUGGCUGAGACUGAGAAGUCUUUCCAGGAUGGUAAGUAAAGCAGGUGGGCACGGGGUAGGUGGGCACAGGUGAGCUGACAGCCAGCAGCCCAGGGAGCCCCGAAGUUCAGUCCAUAUUCUGUCUUCAGAUUUGGAUUCACUCCCCGUGGUUUAGAAACAGUGCUGUUUGAGGUUAAAAACAAAACAAACAAAAAGCCUGAUUUUCAAUUCUCAGAAUGGAUGAGAAGAGUGCCCUAUGGAGACUGGACUGUUUUUUCUUCUUAAGUGAAUAGCUCAAGGGGAACGUCCAGGUGCCGGCCUUCGGGGGUCUCUGCGCCACUGGAGCGGGGGCUGUUGGGCCUGCGGAGAUGCGCGAGUUGGAGUCUGAGGGUGGGUGUGGGUUCCCACCACCACGGGCACCACCAUUUCUAUCACCAGUUGGAGAAGUCCGUUUACCUGUGGAGCAGAUUCUCGAGUAUUGGAGGAAACACUGUGGAAGCAUCGACCGUUGAAUGCAGAUUCGUGUUCUGUUUAUUACUGCUAAGUGAGAUGCAAUUAGGAAUGAGAUAUCUUCACCCCACUGAGUCUGGGAGGGUCAAUGAGCAGUCACAUCAGUGAGCAGGCCAGGUGGUGACGCGUGUUACGUGCGUGUUACUCAGGAAAAUAAAGCAGGGCAGAUGCAGGUAAGGGCCAGUUAUUUGACGUUGUGUAGUCGAGGAAAUCUCGCUCGCAGGUGUCCUCAGAGAGAAGCAACACACAGAUCCCUGGGGACAGAGCAUUGCUGCAGAGGGAAUUCCUGCAGAGAGCAAGACAGAGCAUUCCUACAGGGGGAAUGUGCAAAGGCCCCGGGAAGGGAGAGACCCGUUCUGCUGAAGGGAAAGCAAGAAGGCAGAGGGUUGGAGCCAGGAGGCCUGGAGCUGCUGGGUGACGCCUGAGCCCCCGGGCUCCUGUGUGCACGAUGGCGCUUUGUGAUUUGUGCCAAGGGGGACAGGAGGACAGUCCAGGGUUUUGGCAGAGAAGUGACAUGGCUCCUUGUAAAUCUUCACAGGACCAGGAUAACAUCACAACAGGUAGUUAAUUCACCACCACACAUUUAUAGUCUGAGGUCCUUGGACUGUAUGAGCUACAACAAUGACAGAUAAUCCAGGCUGCAUGGAGCUGCUUGUCUUUGUAGCUGAACACUCAGGCCCCUGCUUGGUCAUCCAGCCAGUCAUGGUGGGAGUGGCAAGAGGAGAGCCUGAGAUGAUGAGGGGUCAGUGAUGCUGUCUUCCGGUCCAUGGCUCAUUAGAGAUACCCUGUAAUUUGCAGUGUUCUUUCUCCAGGAGGAACAGAGCCCCUCUAAUUAUAUCUGCUCUUAUUGAAACCUGAAAAAUGCAGGCAGAGUGAUAAGAGAAUGAAACUGUGGCUGCACCUUCCUGGCCUCCCUUCAAAUAUGUAAAGGGUCCUAAGGCGAGCCCUGGCUGGGGGGUCUUGAGCCCAUGGCUUCUCCCUCGGUGCCUUUCACAGGUGGUCCAGGGCAAACGCUUGGUGCCCAUUCAAUUAAAAUAGCGAAGGAGAUGAGCUACAGCUUCUGCAAGGACGGCGUGGGGCUGUAGCCUCUAGGGCCUUAGUUAGAACCACAUGAAAACACGAAUGCUGGGGAGUAAAAUUGCAGGAAAUGAAUGCAGGAACAGACAUGGCUCGGAUGUAGCAGAGGUGGGAUCGGGAGUGAUUUCGUUCCAAUUCCCCGAUGCUGCUUUCAUAGCUGUUGGGGUUGAGUUUGAGGUGUUGUAGUUGAACCUGUGUUGUAAGGGCGGAAAGCCUCAUCAGCCCAGUGACUGCACAGCCACGCGGAAGCCUCCCCAGUCAGAGGCGGCCUUGGAGGGCAGCUCGCUGUUCUCACUCAGUCCUGAUUCUCGGCUCUCUCCUGACUCCCCAAGGUUUCUUCAACCAAUUUGAAAGGGGCAAAUAGGAAGCUCUGAAGGACAAGGCCCCACAAAGACCCCACACCCUGCAAAUCCCCCAGGGGCUGUGCAGGAAGGGCACAGCGAGGCCCCCAGGAAUCAGCCCAGCCUCUGUGCCUUGGGUCCUGGACCUGGGUGGGCGAGAGUCCACGUGCCCGGAGCCAGAACCUGUCCCCAGCCCUUGACAGAGCCACAUCUCAGGGGACCAUUCCAGGUGGGGUGACAGUUCCCAGCUGCAGCGCCUGGAAGCCCAGGCUGUGGGCAGACGGUCCUUACCUCUGGGGUGGGCAUGAGUCGAGAGGCAGGACCUUGUGGGGUGACAGCUCUGGACCCUGAGUUGGAAUGUGCACCACUCCCAGCUGAGUACCCACUGGUCACACGUUGGGCCCCCAUGGCCUCCCUUCAGCCUCUUCACAGGAAACACGAAGGUGGCGUGGGCCAGGGAGGGGAGUUGACUUGAAUAGGGCAUUUCAAACUGCCAGUCACAAGCGAGGCCAAGGUUUAACAAAUGACUCAGGAAAAAACGGGGUUGGGGGAGGGCAUGAGACACUCCCAGGUGGGAGGAGGUACAGGCAGCGCUCCCUGCGUUCACACUCACCGUGGCUUUGUGACAGGGAUGCACUCUGAGAAAUACAUGGCUGGGCGAUUUCUCUGUGCGGGCCUCACAGUGACUUACACACGCCUGGAUGGCCGGGCCCCCUGUAGGCCUGGGCUGCAAGGUACAGCCAGCGCUCCUCCGCCACAGACCUGUGUGCAGGCUCCUGUACCGAAUGCCACAGGCGACUGCCACACAGUGGUGUAUGUGCGUCCAAACACAACUAACCCGGGAGAGGACAGUAAGAAUCUGGUGCUACAAUCCUGUGGGACCACCCUGCUUGACCAAAACAUUGUUAUAUGGUGCGUGGCUGUAUUUCCUCCAUAUCAAAACAUUGUUAUAUGGUGCGUGGCUGUAUUUCCUCCAUAUCAAAACAUUGUUAUAUGGUGCGUGGCUGUAUUUCCUCCAUAUCAAAACAUUGUCAUGUGGUGCGUGACUGUAUUUCCUCCAUAGAACAGAUGUCAGCGACCCCAGAGCAUGGGUUCGUGCAAUUUUAUAAACUCUAUAAGCCCAUCGAAUUGAAUUUUUAGUAAUGGCUCUGUUUAACAACCAGCUUGCAAAAUUCCUGAACACGUAAUGCUUGGUUGUCCUGAGCUGGCACCUUCGGCACAUGCGCACAUGCUCUCACACGUCCUCACACACACACACUCCCUCACUUACACUCACACACUGUCGUUCACACAUACAAGCACACACAUACGUGCACACAGCAGCUGCUCACGGCAUCUACUUGAGGGGCCCGACACUCAUUUAGAAGCUGAGUACACAAGGUUAGUCUAGGAAGCUAGAACAGAAUGUAAAACAUCAGGAUGUGGCCUGUCUAGUCGGGAUAAACAUUGUUUAUACGUUGGGACACAUUUGACUCCUUUCACACCUGGUGCUGGUUGGCUUGGAGAGCAGUGGGGCGCCAGCCAGCUGCCCUGACAGCCACGCCUCCUGGAGGGUGGAGAGAGCCUGGUCUGCAGAAAGCCUGCUUGCUUCCUGAGGGGCACAGACACAGGUGGCCUGAGAGGGAGAAGGUUCUGGAACAGGGGGCCCAGAGGAAAGCCUGCAGCAGGAGCCAGGGUCACGGCGCCCAGCAGCUGCCCUCGCCCUGGCUCGUCCUGCUCCAGGCCAAGCCACCCAUCUCGGAGCCGCCGUAAGGCCUCCUGCAGUCAAACCGCGAGGCAGCACCAUGCCCACAAGAACUUGAGGUUUCUCCUGGCCUCAACCUUCCUCUCAUGACAACAAGGCACCAAUUUCCACGAAGGGCUCUGCGCUCAGGGCAGGGCUGGUAAACACGAGGUCACGCCCUUCCUGUGAGGGAGGUUCCAGUUCCCACAGCGGAGGCCUCGGGCAGGUGGGGGCUGCCGCAAGAGCAGGACAGGGCCAGGGAGCUGGUGUCCACUCCCACAUAGUCCUCUUGCUUUAAACGGUUCUCUUUUGAGAUAAUUGCAGAUUCACACACAGUCGUAAGGAAUAACACGGAGAGUGCCUGUUCCCUUUGCCCAGUUCCCCCAACAGCAGCCCCUUUGCCCAGUUCCCCCAACAGCAGCAUCUUGCAAAGCAAGGAGUGGUCACCGAUGGGAUCAAGUGCCCUGAGGGCGGAUGGCACCAGCUGCACAUACACUGGGUGUGAGCGUGUGUGUCAGUGUGUGUGUGAGCAUGGGGGUGUGUGUGUCAGUGUAUGUGUAUGGGUGAGUCUGUGUGAGUCUGUCAGUGCGUCUGUGUAUAUGUGGGUGUGCAUGUGUGUGUGUCUGUGUGCAUGUGGGUGUGUGAGAGUAUCAGUGUGUCUAUGUGUAUGUGUGCAUGUGGGUGCGCAUGUGUGUGUCAGUGUCUGUAUGUGUGCAUGUGGGUAUGCUUGUGUGUGUGUGCAUGUGGGUGUCCGUGUGUGUGUACCAGUGUGUCUGUGUGCAUGUGUGCAUGUGGGUGUAUUUGUGUGAGGAGCAUGAAUGUGUGUGAAGGAGGAAGUGCAUGAAUGUGUGUGCAUGUCUGUGUGUGUGCUUGUGUGUGUGAGGGACUGGGAGUGUGUGUGUGAGGGACUGUGUGACCAUAUGUGCAUGUGCGAGUGUGUGCAUGUGGGUGUGAGGGAGGGGAGGGUGUGUGAGCAUGUAUGAGCGUGAGUAUGCUUGUGUAUGUGUGCAUGAGUGAGGGAGUGUGUGUGCAUGUGUGUGAGUGCAUGUGGGUGAGGGUGUGUGAGGAAGUGUGUGAGGAUGUGUGUGAGCAUGUGCACGUGUGUGCUUGCAUGUGUGAGUGAGGGAGGGUGUGUGUGUGCGAAUGAAGGAGGGUGUGGGCAUGUGAGGACAUGUGUGAGCAUGUGUGCAUGUGUGUCUGUGAGGGAGGGAGGGUGUGUGCAUGUGAGUUUGUAUGUGUAUGUGUGAGGGAGUGUGUGUGCGUGUGUGAGUGCAUGUGAGGGAAUUUGUGUGUAAGGUUGUGUGUGAGGGAGGGAGUAUGUAUGUGCGCAUGUGUGUGCACGUGUCAUUGAGGGAGUGUGUGUGCGCGCGUAUGAGUGAGUGUGUGUGUGCAUGUGUGCGCUAGCGUGUGUGAGUGAGGGAGGGUGUGUGCAUGUGAGGGAGUGUGUGUGUGAAUGAGGGAGUGUGUGUGAGCAUGUGUGCAUGUGUGCUUACAUGUGAGGUAGUGUGUGCGUGUGUGUGUGAGGGAGUGUGCACAUGUGAGUGUGUCUAGUUUUGGGCAGUUGUGUCCCAUGUGUGUGUGUGAGGGAGUGUGUGUGCAUGUGUGUGUGAGGGACGAGCUGGGCAGUUGUGUCCCGUGUGUGUGUGUGUGUGAGUGUGUGUGUGAGUGUGUCUAGAGCUGGGCAGUUGUGCCCUGUAUGCAGAUCUCUGUGCAGAUGCCGGACAUUUCCAUCCCACGAGCAUCUCUCCUGCUCCUUUUCCAGCCACAGCCACCUCCUGCCCCUCCCUGACCCCUGACCGCUGACACCCGCUGCUCUGCUUUCCGUUGCUGUGACUUUGUCAGCUUGAGACUGUCUCCCUUCACUCAGCCCAGUUCCCCUGAGGCUCACCUGCAACACUGUGCACCCGCUCGCUUGCUGCUUUUCACGCAGUUCACUCUUUACCUGCUGAAGGACAGCUUGAAGGUUGCCUCCAGUUUUCUGCCAUUACAAAUAAAUCUGCGGUGA
rnacentral:lncRNA from 1 species